rnacentral:misc_RNA from 1 species
UUACUCCUAUUUUAUCUAGGUUUCCUAAAGGACUUUGAUUUGUUUUAACUUGCUAUUUAGUAGGGAUCUUUUCCUAUUGCAUUUAGGAGUUCAAGAACUCCAUAAAUACCACAGAUUUUAGGUAUUUUCAGGGCAGAUUUUUGUUAAUAAAAUUUACAGCAGAGAAUUUCUCUCAAUUUUCAGUGUGUGUUCUUCUUUGAGCUUCAUGCUGCGUCAAAGAUAAAAUUGUCAAACAGGCUUUCUUAAUGCCCAGCAGUGUAGUCAAAAGUGUAAAAAGCGCUUGCUAAAGCCUAAAAGCGCAGCAAUAAAUAGGAAAGCGCUUUUACAUAUGCUAAGCAAAGCA